ensembl:lncRNA novel transcript
GAUGGAGUGCAAUGGCACAAUCUCGGCUGACUGCAACCUCCGCCUCCCAGGUUCAAGGUUCAAGCGAUUCAGUCUCCCGAGUAGCUGGGAUUUACAGGUGUGUCUAACCUAAUGGUCUGCAACCUGGCCUACAGAGGAAGCUGGAAGAGUUGAAGGAGAGUAUUCUGGCCGAUAAAUUCCUGUCUAGUAGAACUGACUAGAACAGCAGAACUGCAUUGCACUGGGCAUGCUCAGCCAGACAUGCAGAAAUUGUUGAAUUUUUGUUGCAACUUGGAGUGCCAGUGAGUGACAAAGGCGAUACAGCUUCCAAAAACAGGAAUGAGAUUGUUGUCAAGUUACUAGAAGGCGGGGUUGAUCCACAUGCUGAGGACCAUUGUGAGGCUACAGCAAUGCACCGGGCAGCAGCCAAGGGUAACUUGAAGAUGAUUCCUAUCCUUCUAUACUACAGAACAUCCACGAACAUCCAAGACACUGAGGGUAACACUCCUCUACACUUAGCCUGUGAUGAGGAGAGAGUGGAAGAAGGAGCAAGUGUCCCAAGGAGCAAGUAUUCACAUUGAGAAUAAAGAAGAAAAGACACCCCUGCAAGCGGCCAGAGGUUGCCUACGUUUAAUACUCAAGUGAAUGGUGGAAGGUUAAACAGCUUGGAUUUAUUCUUACCUUUUUUUUUUUUUUUUUGAGACGGAGUCUCGCUCCAUCACCCAGGCUGGAGUGCAAUGGUGUGAUCUUGGCUCACUGCAACCUCUGCCUCCCGGGUUCAAGCAAUUCUCCUGCCUCAGCCCUCUGAGUAGCUGGGAUUACAGGCAUGUGCCACCAUGCCCGGCUACUUUUUGUAUUUUCAGUAGAGACGGGCUUUCACCAUCUUGGCCAGGCUGGUCUCAAACUCCUGACCUCAAGUGAUCCGGCCGCCUUGG